rnacentral:lncRNA from 1 species
AUUUAUUGAUGUAUAGAUAAGAAUUUAAAUGUGAUGUAACAGGUAAAUUAACGUUAGGCCAUUAAUUGUGUUUUUAUGUUCCAUCCCGGAACUAACGUUCUCUGUUGUGUUACUGCUACGGAAUUUGUUCAUUGACUGUGUGCAAUCUAACUUAAGCAGAUCUUAGUCUGAGUCAUAAUUGUUGGUGGCAGAGGCUAAGAAAGACAGUAAAGGGACUUUCAAGGGACUUUAAGAAUUCAAGAACCUCUUUUCAGGACAAGCAGCCAACGAGUUCUCACGGCGUGACGUGGAUGCAUCGGAGAAAAAUACGUGCAAUGCAAUAAACGCCCGUUUCAAAGAACCAACCUGUGUCUGUUGUCGUGAAGAGAGCUACAGUGAGAACUCGCCUGCUCAACACGGGUAGGAGAGACAACAAGAUCGCCGCGGGUAACGACGCAACGAAGAUCCAGCAGAUCAGAUAAGCAAAGCCCAUGACAUUGUCGGCUUAGCGACAGCAAGCAACGGUGAUUGGACUGUGUUGAAAGCGCAACUUUUCAGGCCAAAAGCACUCUACCACAACAUUCAAGUUAAGUUGGUAUGAGAAGUGGUUCUACUUUGAAAUUGCAACUAAGGACUCAGCUCUAUGAAUCGUACAUACUGUGCUUAGCCUACAUGUUUUGGGGAUAAAUCGAAUGUGCUGGUGUUUGUGGUUGUUACGUGUUACGAGAUUUAAAGGGAAACUUAACUCCAUAAGCAAGUGAACACGUUUUGAGUAAAGAUAAAAGAUAAUCAUACAUUGAAAUUAAGAUUAAUGUUUUAUGAAAAGUGGUGUUAGCCAAGCUUAAAGAGCAAUUUAAGCAAAGUUUAACCUCUAUGGGCUAGGUGGGACGCCAUUUGUAUUUCUUUGUUUCAGUACUAUAAUUUAUCAACGUUACUGUGUUCAUUCAAACAUAUAGUUCUCACGGCGUGACGUGGAUGCAUCGGAGAAAAAUACGUGCAAUGCAAUAAACGCCCGUUUCAAAGAACCAACCUGUGUCUGUUGUCGUGAAGAGAGCUACAGAGACCCUCUGAUCUAAAUAUAGAUCUCUACUAUGGGGACGUUGGGCUGGUAUAGAGAGAAGAGGAGGAGAGACCCUCUGAUCUAAAUAUGGGUCUCUACUAUGGGGACGUUGGGCUGGUAUAGAGGCAAGAGGAGGAGAGGAAAGUAAACAAGAGGUGGAGGAGGGGGUGAACACGGGGGAGAGAGAGAGAGGUUCAGAUGAAAGGAAAAUGGGAGAGAGGGGGUUGGAGGG